AUUGAACGCUAGCGGGAUGCCUUACACAUGCAAGUCGAACGGAGUGGCGAACGGGUGAGUAAUGUAUCGGAACGUGCCCAGUAGUGGGGGAUAACGACGCUAAAGCGUAGCUAAUACCGCAUACUAUUUGAGCGGCCGCUAUCGGAUUAGCUAGUUGGUGGGGUAACGGCUCACCAAGGCCACGAUCCGUAGCUGUUUUGAGAGUACGACCAGCAACACUGGGACUGAGACACGGCCCAGAAUCCUACGGGAGGCAGCAGUGGGGAAUUUUGGACAAUGGGGGAAACCCGGACCCAGCCAGGCCGCGUGUGUGAUGAAGGACUUCGGGUUGUAAAGCACUUUUAGCAGGAAAGCGGUACCUGCAGAAUAAGCACCGGCUAACUCCGUGCCAGCAGCCGCGGUAAUAC
rnacentral:rRNA from 1 species